UUGAAUAAAAAUAAAACAAAGUUGCUUAAUGCUGAUGUAGUACAGUAAAAAUUACCAGACACUGGAAUUGAUGCACGAAGCAACUCUUUAGAGUUUCUCCCAUUGGAGAUCUUAAUUCCUCUAAUCUUACUAUGAAUGGGCCCUUGGUUAAAUCCCUUUCCUUCCAGGUUCCAACAUUCUUUUAUUAUGUCGAUUACUCUCUUCUUUCAUUCUAUUUAUGUUAUGGUAAUUCUAGGAUGGGAAUCGAGGAAUUACAGAGACAGAUUAGGGAGGCCAAAGAAGAAAAGCAUCCGAAUCUUAUUAGAGAGAAUUGGAGGUUCAAGAGUGUUAUUACAAAAUACUGAUGCCCUCCUCAAGAGGGUCCUCUGCUAUUUGUUCUUAUAACUGUCUAACAGCUUCCCAAUUGAGGAAGUUCGUUAUUCCAACUAUUCAUUAACUAAUUACAAUUGAAAUACUCUUCUAUUGCUUAUUUACAAAAUAUCCCGUAACACUUUACCAAUCUAUUGGAUUUUCAA